UUUUAAAAGAAAACCAGUGAGAUAAAAUCAUAUAAAAUGUAUGAUGAUUCAGGAUGUGGUCAUUUGAGACCUGUUCUGUGGAUGCCCUUAGACAGUGUGUCUACCCAUCAUGCCAUCUGAUAUCACUUGUGCUGAGCAUAUUUCUCUCUCAAACUUAAACUACAGAGAGCCUGUGGAUAGAGGAUGAAGAGUGACCUUGGACUAAUUUUCUAGGUCAAAGAUCAUAGGUGAUGUGAAGGAAAUACCAGGAACUGAUGUUGAAAGAAGUACUUAAUGACACUUAUGAAUGGACUUAAAUGUGAAAGACUGUUCCAUUGUUUAUCUAAGAUAUAUGAAUUUAUUUAGUAUUUUGAUAUCAUUGAAAAAUACUGUUUCAGUUUUUGUACAUCAAAUGAAUUAUUAAACAUA